rnacentral:rRNA from 1 species
UACGUAGGGUGCAAGCGUUAAUCGGAAUUACUGGGCGUAAAGCGUGCGCAGGCGGUUGUGCAAGACAGAUGUGAAAUCCCCGGGCUCAACCUGGGAAUUGCAUUUGUGACUGUACGGCUAGAGUGUGUCAGAGGGGGGUAGAAUUCCACGUGUAGCAGUGAAAUGCGUAGAGAUGUGGAGGAACACCGAUGGCGAAGGCAGCCCCCUGGGUCAAGAUUGACGCUCAUGCACGAAAGCGUGGGGAGCAAACAGG